UUGCUCCUGCUAGUCCCUCCAGAAGUAGGGAAAACAAAGGUAAGAUGGUUAUUUCUGGAAAACAGUAGGUUGCAUGGAGUGUGGACUUUGACAAGUGUCUGGUUAGGGGUUGAGGUUUUAUAUGCUUUUGAGUAAUACAGUCAACCUAAUGAUUAAUAUAUUCAGCCUAUUGGUCAUUCAUCCUCUAUUGAUUGUAAACAUGGACUGAAUAUGACUUAAUAGCAUACUUUUUGCUUUUGGGUAGUCUUUCUGAGCCCACUGUUUUUUACGAUCUGAAAAAGGAGGCAUGAUUUGUUUCAUCACUCAUUGGAACUAGCUAGAUUAAUUAAGACAUUUAGCAUGUCUAAUGAACUGGAAGAAAAGGAAUUUUUAAUUAAUUUGUGUAAUAUUGUAUUGGAUGGCUGUGGGGCUGCAGGUUGCUCUAGUUUUGAAUUUGUGGGAGGAGUUGGAAUUUUUGCCUCUUAAACAUAUAUUGGCAGUCCAUGCAGUUGAAAAUCUGAUUACAAAUAUUUAUAGUUACUCUUGUCUGUUUAUGGAACUCCUCUUUGGCCUUGACACUAAGAUUACAAGGUGGCUUAAAAUGGGUAGCUCUGUGUCCUCCCCCAGAAAUAACUCUUCUUCUGUUACUAGAGUAUGUGCAAGUUUUCAGCCCGUGAAAUAAUGCUAAUAAUUAGUUAUCUUUCAUAACAUUGUCUUGAGCGUCUAUUUUCUGACCCUCACCACAAUUUUUCUGCUGAC
rnacentral:lncRNA from 1 species